ACCAUCAAAAGCCAACUGCUUCUGAGUGUGAGAUGAAGCUGUGGAUUGUGAGGCGAUUUACAGAUGUAUUGUUAAUUUAAAAAAAAAUUCUUAUCAGUUGACAUGCACUCAAGUAUUUAUCAGUAAAAUGAUGUGAUGUUUCUUUGAAAAGUAUGGCAACAAGAACAAACAAAUUAAUUGAAUAGUAAAUACGAAAGUGAGACACACAGGGUUAGCCGGGCAUUGAUCGUUGUUGAAUGGAGGUGGGUACAUGGGAGGGUGGGGUGUUCAUUUCAAGGCUAUCUCUACUUUGUUUUGUAUUUGAAAACUUCCAUAAUAAAAAUGCUUUAACAACUGACUUCGCAGAAACGUCACGGGUGUGUAUUCCUAGCAGCGGAUUCUCCGCCCGGGGCCAUUUUCGUUACAGGUUUAUUUCCUUCGGAUCUGACCUUGUUUGCACCCCGCUUGCUUUUUUUCCCUCCCCAUCCUUACUCGAAGGGCGCAUUAAAACCCAUUUAUUCGGUCUCCGCAGACAAUGCUUCAUUAAGUCUUCAACCUCUCUGUCUCCGGGAACCUGUCCCUGCCCACAUCGCUCUCCUACUGGCCCUGGCGGCCCUCUGGGUCCUGAACGCCGGUGCCGCCAUCACCCCCGCCCGGGAGGCCUCCGAGAGCCGCAGAAGACCGGUCUGCACUGCCGGGGGUCGCUGGCGCCGCCUCCCGGCCUUCGCGGUGGGAGUCGCUCGCGGACCGGGGUCUCCUGCAACCCCUGCAGCCCAGGUCUCAGAUACACCCAAUGUGGCCCCAAGAAAGGCAGAGACAAGCACCGCGGGAGCCUGAGGCCACGUCUCCCUGCAGGGCCAGGGGGCAAGCCCCAUCCCAGGAGUGGAAGAGAGGAGGGGGCCGGGAGGCCCUGGUGGAUGCGACGCAGAAGCAGGCCACGACCGACCGUGCUGCUGCCCUUUGCUGUGGUCCCGCUUUCCUCCGGGAUGUCCCGAGUGGCUUCACUGGAAGUCAUCCUCCUGGAGGACCUGGAGGAGGGAAGCACUGGGCCUCAGGACCUCCAAGCCAAUCAUCUGAGCCUGGGGCUCUCAGGGCUGAGAAAAGACCGGGGUUUUGGGUGUGUGUGCAUGUGUGCCUGUGUGUGUGUGUGUGCCUCUGUGUGUGUGUGCCUCCGUGUGUGUGUAGGCGUGUGUGCCUCCGUGUGUAUCUGUGUGUGUGUGUCUGCAGACCUCAGAGAGGGAGGCUUCACCCUGCGGCCGGAGGAGGUGGUGAACUCAGGGUGCGUCCCCGCCGAGCCUCUCGUGUCCUGCCGCCGCCGCGCGAGGGGCCUGCCUCGGCUACUCCCAGGCGCACAGGGGCCUGAGCCGGCGGGCGCCGAGAACCUGGGCCCAGGGACGGCCUGGACCCCACCGACACUGGCCCAGGAGCGCAGCCUCAGUCUCACUGCCGGGUCGGUUCUGCCCAAGGUCACCGCGCGCCGCUCGGAUUCCCCGCCUCCCGCGCCCCCCGCCUCGUCUCCGAGUCGAGUCUCGGCCUCUCGCCGCCCCCUUUCCCGGAGCCGCUCUCGGGGCUCCAGCUCCCGGAACCGCAGCGUCAGCACAUCCGGGCCUCGCUCGCUUUGGUUCUGAGUUUUCUUAAAUCGUGAAAAUCCAUUUCCCCAAAUGGGCGGGAGCUGAGCUUCGCUUCGUCCAGGGGCGGUCUGCCCGGCCGCCCCCUCCCCACCCCCAGCGCGACCCCCGAGGCCCGGCAUUGAUCCCGCAGCUUGUGCACAUCGCAUUAGUCCUAAUGGUUUUGCUGAUGAUUCAACUUUUUCGUUAAAAGCCGCCCCUCCGUCCUCACUGCUCCCCUGCCUCCGCCUCUGCCGGCCGCGGGCCCCUCGGCGGCGCGCCCGCCCAGAGCUUUCUUGGCCGGUAGAGACGCGGCUCCUGCAACCCGGGUCCGCCUCCCAGGGCGCUUAGACGCCUCAAGAGGAGCCCGCUCCUCGCAGGGAGGGGCGAGGGCCGGGUGGGUGGAGGGUCUGCGGCGGUUUGGGGACCCU
ensembl:lncRNA